rnacentral:RNase_P_RNA from 1 species
AUGUUUGAGUAAUCGCUGCACAUCAAAUAUGUGUAGAGGAAAGUCCAUGCUCACACAAGCUGAGAUGCUUGUAGUGUUCGUGCUUGACGAAUUCAUAAGUCAAGGUAAUCCUUUUUGGAUUAACGGCAGGGAAGAUACCUAAGUCAUUUGGAUAUGGUAUUGCAACCUUGAAAGUGCCACAGUGACGUAGUCAGGCGGGAAACUGCUUGAGUGGAACGAGGUAAACCCCACGAGUGAGCAACCCAAAUAUUGGUAGGGGCAUUCUCUAGUAGGGAAACGAACCGAACGAGAGCCAGGCAUUCGCCUGGAGAUAGAUGAUUACUACUUGCGUACGAGGUUGACCGCCGUUUGCAGUACAAUAGUACAGAACAUGGCUUAUAAAA